CAGCCGUAAACUAUGCGCGUUAGGUGUAUCGGUGACCACGAGUUACCGAGGUGCCGAAGGGAAACCGUGAAACGUGCCGCCUGGGAAGUACGGUCGCAAGGCUGAAACUUACAGGAAUUGGCGGGGGAGCACCACAACGGGUGGAGCCUGCGGUUUAAUUGGACUCAACGCCGGACAUCUCACCGGAUAAGACAGCUGAAUGAUUGUCAAUCUGAAGGUUUUACAUGACUAGCUGAGAGGUGGUGCAUGGCGUCAGUGACU
rnacentral:rRNA from 1 species